CCUUACACAGCUCAAGGUCUGGGCCCCAGGGCCUGACGGUGAGUAUGCCCAUAAGGCCCAUAAAGUCCACUUAUAUGUUCCACCCACCCAUGAGUUCGCUCACAGGGAGUGGAGUGUGUAGGGGAUGUGUUAUGUGUUAUUGUAGAGGAUCUAAUAUGUGUGCUUAUGGUAUGUAGUGUUUAGGGUUACCAGUUUGUGCAGGUGAUGCAGUGUGUUUGUGUGUAGUGGAAGCAGUGUGUAUUUGUGUAUAAGGGAUGUAUUAUGUGUUUCUGGUUGUGUGUAAGGGAUGC
rnacentral:lncRNA from 1 species